UCUUUCUGUCUUCUUCUUCCCGAUGUAGACCUAGACGACGACCCCCCAAUUGCAGACAAUCUUAGUUUGGAAACCUCAUCCCCGUAAUCCUACUCGGUUACCACAUCUAAUGCACCCUCCCAUCUCUCAAUCACAUACUAGAGGCGAGACACUCCUUAGCCUCAUGCCACCAUCGAUUCAUUCACACACCAGAAACCUCUUUCCGUGCCUGAUUCGAUACAGGUAAAAGUUGAAGGAUUUCAGUUUGCUAUCCGACUAUCAGUUUUUGUUGAAUUCUUUUCUAUCUCUUUUUAAUUUUUAUGUUUGCUGUUUGGUCUUGUUAAUACAAUUUCUAAACAAUAAAUUUUAGUUGGAUUGUGCUUUUUGUAAUGAAGCAAGGUUAUCCUCUUCUUGGGGCUAGUUAGAGUUAAAAGAUUUAUCAUUGGGAUCAGUCCUGCCUGAUUUAUACUUGUAUUUGGAUCGUACGUUUGUGCAUCAAUGUUUAACUGCUUGUCAUUCUUAGUCCGGAUGGCAUCAAUGUUUAGUUUUACUGUUUAGAUUUGUUCUGUUUGCUUUUGUUACUCCAUAAUUUGUUUUCAUCUAAAAGUUCCAGUAUGUAUGAAAAUGGUUUCUGGAAUUGAGUCAAGAGGCUACAACUCUAUUUAUUGCUUAUAUGCUUCCAGUUGCUUCAACCAUCCGUUGAGGGUUUUUCUACUUGAGAAUAAAACAAAUUAACCUUCUUUGUUUUCUUAGAGCUUGCAUUCAUUAGGCUCACAAUAAACGGGGUUUGUUUAUUGAGUUUCUUUUGUUGCUGAUUCACGAAGGUUUCUAUUGAGGGUUAUAAGCCAGCUUGAUUGGAUAUAUAGCCCAUUAACCCGGAUUGCCUUUAGUUAAUUAUAUAUUGUUGCACAUUACUACUGCUCAUAAAUAGGAUUCUAGAUAACAUCUGCAGAUUUGGUAAUCAUAAUUAAGUCUUGAUUCGUGUAUCUUUUGUCAAUUGAAGAGCUUGUUGUAUGUUUCCAAUAGUGCUAUAAACUUUGCUACUUGAGGAUGUGCUUGGUUCCUCCAGUUGUUACUGACUUCCUUCAGUCAAUGAGGAAUGUGGGUUCCUGCUCUUUCUAGCAGGAGUAUGUUGUACUUUGAUCCAAGAGAGCUCUCAAAAGUCAGUGGGAAUGGGAGAAAGCGAGAAGCAUUCAUUUAAUUUGGUGAUCUUAGAAAAGACACCGUCAAGAAUUGUCCAGAAACAUUCUUUAUUUAUUUCAACUUAUGGGAGUAGGCGUAUUAUUUUCUUUAAAUUUCUGCUCUCCCAACCACUGUGGAAAAGAUUUGCUCGAGAGGAUUAAAGAAAUUAUAACAGAGAUGGGAUAUAGUGUCUAGAAGAAAAAUGGAAGGGUAAUUGGUUCUUUCCCAAAGCAGUAGCUAAAGAAGAGGAAAAUCAGACACUUUAAGGAAACUCUAGAAGCUGAGAUUAAGAUGCUCAGGAAGAAGCUGACCUUUAAAGCAACUCCAAUGCCUAACGUUGAUCCUUUUUCUAAUAUCUCUAGGUAGUUGUUCAAGUCUGUAGCCCCUGUUGAGUUUAAGGGUCUGUAGAUUCUGCAGAUUGCUGAGAGAAGCAGGGAGUGCUGUCACACUAACAUUAGCAGAGGUCAAGGUACCUAAGAUGGGUCAACUUGCCUAAGCUCAUCAAUUCUUAGGUUAUGCAGAUCUAAUACACGCAAGCACCUCAAGUUUGAAAUGAUUGUAUUCUGACGAUGCUUGAUCCUAAAGUGACGAAGAUAAUUUUUCUCACGCGCCAAAGAGAAAGAAACCCCGAUCCCGUGAGUUGGCUCUCCCGGCCGAUCGUAGCCGGUGAAUCUGCCGCUGCAUCUUGGUCCGGGAGGGGUCGUUGCUUUCUUAGUUCUUCUUAGUUUUAUUUAGGGCUCAUCAUAGCUGGCUUGGGUCGGGCCUUAUUAUAUUUUUAAAUAAUGGCAGGCCGGGCCGGGUUUUAUUGUAAAUUGAAGAAUCCAAGCCCAUCCAUAUAAAGUGGGCCUUGCGGGUUUUUUUGGGACCGGCCUUGUGGGCUUUAUUUAUAA